CACGAAUGAAGUCACAAGGCCCUUCUAGAAGCCACAGACAGGGCCAUACUCUUGGCAAUCAUGCGAGUGAUGUCUAGGGAGGCUUCUGAACAGAAUUCCGUGGCCAAGUUAAAGUCUUUGAGGCUCUCCAACAGAUGUUCCCUACGGACACCCCGAUCAAUGUCCUCCUCCAAAUUUGUGAGCCACACUCUUAAGGCCCGGGAGAG